UCGCGGCGACCGGAAAAACCUAGGGCUCAACCCCAGGCCUGCGGUCGAUACGGGCAGGCUAGAGUUCGGUAGGGGAGACUGGAAUUCCUGGUGUAGCGGUGAAAUGCGCAGAUAUCAGGAGGAACACCGGUGGCGAAGGCGGGUCUCUGGGCCGAUACUGACGCUGAGGAGCGAAAGCGUGGGGAGCGAACAG
rnacentral:rRNA from 1 species